GAUGAACGCUGGCGGCGUGCGUAAUACAUGCAAGUCGAGCGAACAGACGAGGAGCUUGCUCCUCUGACGUUAGCGGCGGACGGGUGAGUAACACGUGGAUAACCUACCUAUAAGACUGGGAUAACUUCGGGAAACCGGAGCUAAUACCGGAUAAUAUAUUGAACCGCAUGGUUCAAUAGUGAAAGACGGUUUUGCUGUCACUUAUAGAUGGAUCCGCGCCGCAUUAGCUAGUUGGUAAGGUAACGGCUUACCAAGGCGACGAUGCGUAGCCGACCUGAGAGGGUGAUCGGCCACACUGGAACUGAGACACGGUCCAGACUCCUACGGGAGGCAGCAGUAGGGAAUCUUCCGCAAUGGGCGAAAGCCUGACGGAGCAACGCCGCGUGAGUGAUGAAGGUCUUCGGAUCGUAAAACUCUGUUAUUAGGGAAGAACAAAUGUGUAAGUAACUAUGCACGUCUUGACGGUACCUAAUCAGAAAGCCACGGCUAACUACGUG
rnacentral:rRNA from 1 species